rnacentral:rRNA from 1 species
UUACGGCCAUAUCACGCUGAAAACACCGGUUCUCGUCCGAUCACCGAAGUUAAGCAACGUCGAGCCUGGUCAGUACUUGGAUGGGUGACCGCUUGGGAAUACCAGGUGCUGUAAG